UACGUAGGACGCAAGCGUUAUCCGGAGUUACUGGGCGUAAAGCGCGGGCAGGCGGCUCGAAACGUCUGAUGUGAAAUCUCCUCGCUCAACGGGGAGAGGCCAUUGGAAACGGUCGAGCUGGAGGGCAGUAGAGGUAGGCGGAAUUCCGGGUGGAGUGGUGAAAUGCGUAGAUAUCGAGAGGAACACCUGCGGCGAAGGCGGGUUGCUGGGCUGACACUGACGCUGAGGCGCGAAAGCUAGGGGAGCGAACGGG
rnacentral:rRNA from 1 species